GUCUACAGCCAUGCUACCCUGAAGAAGCCUGAUCCCGUCUGAUCUCAGAAGCUAAGCAGGGUCAGGCCUGGUUAGUACUUAGAUGGGAGACCACCUAGGAAUACCAGGUGCUGUAAGUG
rnacentral:rRNA from 1 species